GUCACUCCCCUACCUCCGACGGGCUCUCCGAUGAUUCAAGUCCACACAGCCACUAGCUUCAGAGUUUAUUCUCGGACAUGAUGGGGACAGCAGCCCUGGCGAAAGCAGACAGCUGGGGAGACCCUGCACCCUCGGGAACAGCUGCUCUACUUGCAGGCUUGAGUGGGGUCAGUCUGCGGAGGUCCUCCUCCACGUCGGACUCCUCCAUCUCAUCAUCGGCCGAGAUCAGGAUCUGGGCAGCGGAGAGGCACGGCUGAGACGUGGCAGCAGCCCUUCUGCGUUUGCCCUCCCUGGACCCCAGGCCCCGCCAGGAGGCCUCAAGUCUUGUGCUUCUGUGGAAGAUGGUGACAGGGAGGCCCCCUUACACAAUAAGACAUGCUGGCCCACCGAAACCAGCACUGAGUUCACAGACCCCCCACCCACCCGCCUCUAUGCCAGUGCUCCUCAUUUCCCCAUCUAACUCCAGCUGCACCUAAACCAACCACACCUCAGCAGAGACCUGAAGCCCAGGGUCAUGCUGGCAAUAAGAAGCUCAGCCUUGACACACGGAGUCCUAGGGCCUUGACGUUGCCUUAAAUACAGGAGAAGCAAACUGAAAAGCUGCAGGGGAACAUGACUUCCUACUCCAGGGACAGGGUAGUCUCAUCAAUUCUCCCCUGGACUGAACCCUUGAGGGCUCUCUGCUUCCAAUCUCGGUCCCCUGAUUAAACCCUCACUGGCUCCCUACUGCUUAUACAAGCAUGUCCCAGGUCCUCAGUCUACAGCACAAAGCACCUGCUCAUCUAGCUCACACCUCGCCUGUACCUCACACUGCUUGACAUUCCAUUGUACACUCUGGAAUAAAUGCUGCUCUACAGUGAA